ACUGUCCACCACCCUGAUCACCAGAUCCAGUGUGCUGGAAAGAACAAUGAAAGAACUUGAUAACUGUGCAUAAGAAAAAAGCUGUCUCUACAGUAAAAAGUAGCAGAUCCUCCAGGGAGUUAUCUCACAGCGGCCAAAUGAGAUUCCUGACCUAGGGAAAUCUCUCCGGUACAGCAGACUAUAGCCAGUCCAUAAUUUUGGCAUCCCCUGUGGACAGAGUGGUUCUCUGUCCGACUGACUGUGAAGGAC